rnacentral:rRNA from 1 species
AAGCGUGCGCAGGCGGACUUGCAAGUCAGGAGUGAAAUCCCGGGGCUCAACCCCGGAACUGCUCUUGAAACUGCAGGUCUAGAAUACCGGAGAGGUUGGGAGAAUUCCUAGUGUAGAGGUGAAAUUCGCAGAUAUUAGGAGGAAUACCAGUGGCGUAGGCGCCCAACUGGACGGUCAUUGACGCUCAUGUACGAAAGCGUGGGGAGCAAACAGGAUUAGAUACCCUGGUAGUCCACGCCGUAAACGAUGUUUGCUAGUUGUCGGGGUCUUAAGGCCUCGGUGACGCAGGGAAACCACUAAGCAAACCGCCUGGGGAGUACGGCCGCAAGGCUAAAACUCAAAGGAAUUGACGGGGACCCGCACAAGCGGUGGAGCAUGUUCCUUAAUUCGAAGCAACGCGAAGAACCUUACCCACUCUUGACAUCCUGGUCGGGGAUUGCAGAGAUGCUUUCCUUCGGUUCGGCCGGACCAGUGACAGGUGCUGCAUGGCUGUCGUCAGCUCGUGUCGCGAGAUGUUUGGUUAAGUCCAGCAACGAGCGCAACCCUUAUUGUCUGUUGUCAUCAUUUAGUUGGGCACUCUGACAAGACUGCCGGUGAUAAGCCGGAGGAAGGCGGGGACGACGUCAAGUCAUCAUGGCCCUUACGAGUGGGGCUGGAAACGUGCUACAAUGGCGGUGACAGUGAGCAGCCAGGCCGCAAGGCCGCGCUAAUCUCCAAAAACCGUCUCAGUUCGGAUUGUUCUCUGCAACUCGAGAGCA